ensembl:lncRNA
CAGGUUUUGAGAGCUGAGCAGGCUCCAGAGGGAUGUUUUUCUUCUCCGUUUGUCUGCUGUGUCUGGCCCGUAAAACCCACCGGAACUCCAUGCUGGACGGAGGAAUUCCUGCUGAACGGGGACCUGGAGAAGGCAGGCAGGGGGGAGCCCUUAUCAGGGCAGAGACCACCCCCAUCUUCGAGGCCCCACCUCUGGGUCAGACCCAAUCCAGGAUAUCACAUUGCAUUUGGGACUAUGCUCCUUUCAAAUUCUAUUGGUCGCCUCAGUUGUCUCUCCCUGGACACAGAAUGGGUGGGAAAGCUGUCGUCUUCCAUACUGAGCUGGGACACUGAGACUCGAAAACACAAGUGACCGAGCUCCCCUGGCAGGGCCCACCUCACUCUGCACCCUCGCUCUGCCUCUCCCUUCCCCCCGGACUCUAGGAAUUCAGAAGCCCCUUCGGAGUGUCCCACCGGGCCCACCCCUCCCACCAGUGCAGACAAUGAGAGAUGCUCCUGCUUGAGUGGAGAGAGCCACCGCACGCCCAUCACUAACUCUCCUAGACUGGGGGGCCAGGACAAUGGCUGAGAGACCUCAGCCUGGGUGGAGCACAGCCCUGUGUAAAGGAGAGAGAAACGGAGGGGGAAAUACUGUUAUUUGCCUGUGCAGAAUCAUGUGUGAUAGACGAAAACUGCUGCAAAUUCGUUGCAGUUUCUCCCGUUAAGAGGUGUAGCCUGUUUCCCCGCCCCUUGAAUUGGGGCCGGCCCUACGAUUUGCCCUGAUGACAAGAAUUGCGCAGAAGGGAUGCUGUGCCACUUCUGGGCUCAAACGCCAGGGCCUUGCAGCUCCUCCCCUCACUCUCGGAACCCUGAGGCCAUCAUGUGAAUAAGCCCGAGCUGACUCGCUGGACGGGCCACAUGAAGGAGAGCGUGUCACCCAGCCAACAGCCCGCCAACGGCCAGACCAGGGAGUAAGGCUAUUGGAGGCCACCCAGCCCCAGUGAAGUGAAGCUGACAGCACGCAGCCCCACAAUGACCCCAGGCGAGGUCAGCAGAACCAUCCAGAUGAGCCCAGCCCAAACGGCCAACCCACAGAACCGUGGGCAAGUAAAUGACUUGUUUUUCGCUGCUAAGUUUUGGGCUGGUUUGUUACACAGCAAAGCCUGACUAACUAAUGCAUGAUCCCUCAUUUCCCUCUUGGCAGUGGCAUCCCAAUUUUAUUUCAGAAGGCUGCGUGCCAGUCCCAGGAGAUGGGAUGUGACUGGUCUACUCAACUAUGACAAUUCUGUUCCUGCUGUCUUAGCUUUCCUUGCAGCUAGAGGUGGCAACGGUAGCUGGUUUGGGCCAAGGAAAUAUGCAGGGAGAGACAGCAGGAAGCAGGCCUCUGAGAAAGGUUUGACUUUAUGAGAGAGGUCGACAAGUCCAGCUGGCUUGGCCUUCCUCAUCCCCCACUCCUUUCUUCCUUGAAGACAGACAUGAUUCCUGGAGGUACAGCAGCCAUCCUGUGACCAUGAGGUAACAAGCCAUGAGGGAAAGGCCAAAAGGAUAAUAGAAAUGUGAGCCCUCCUUUACUGAGUUGUUAAAUCAACACCAUCAGCCACCUGUCUCCAGAAUUCAUGCUGUGCGGAAACACAACUUCUCUUUGUCUAGCCACUGUAAGCUAGUUUGUCCUUUACUUGCAGCUGAGUGUAUUCCAUAAAAAUAGGAUAUAUGAAGACAAAAAUGCAGCAGGAUCCUUGUCUUUGGGAAUCUGGAGCCAGCAGCAUGUGGCUCUCCAAACCCAUCUCCUUUCUCGUGUCAUCCUCUCAAUAAUCCCUCAAGGUCGAGGCCAUGACCCCAUGACCACAGAGGGAACUGAGGCUCCCACACUGUUCGGCUGUGAGUCCAAGAGCUGGCAAACAGGUGCUGAGAGUCAGAGCCUCCCGGAGGCUUGGAGAGAACGCACCCCUCCUGCGCCCGCUGUGUGGCCCGGCCCACCGGAGGCCACCGCGUCUUCUGGGCUCUUGGGAGCGGUGGCAGGUGCCGAGGAGGCUGCUAUUGCAAGUCCGGCGUGGAAGCGCCCAGGUACACCCGCAGGUCUGAGAGAGUCGACUGGACAAGCUUGGCUGGGAUGGUCUCCCGCUGCAGCUGCUGGUAGGCCGCAUAGCGGUGGCAGCCCCCGAAGGAGUAGAAGUAGUCGCCCCCCCGGGCCCCUUUGAUCCAGAGGACGUCGAUGGGGGGCACGCUGUCCGGGUCCUCCUGGAAAGAAGGGGCACAGGGUGAGCGCGCAGUGAGCAGAGCUGACUUUGCUAACCUCGUUCCCUCCCGCAGGGCGCUCGCCCUGGCCCGCGCUGGCUUGUGAGAGACGCGUGUUACAGAUUCAGGAAGCUUGUGAGCUGUCUGACAUCAGCUUGGGACUGUCGCAGUGAGAGUACUGACACCAGGGGAAGAGCCAGCAGAGCAGUACUUUAUCCCCUAGACACCAGCUUGUUAACUAUUACCAACACAGCACGUGCAUCCUACGUAUCUGGCACUGUUCUAGACUCCGGGGUGCGGGACCGCCAGAAUGAGGCAGGCACAGCCCCUGCCUUCACAGGGCUUCCGUCUAGAGGGGCCGAUGGAAUGAAGAAGUGAACGGUAAUAAACGCGAGGAAGACAGUCCCACAGGUUGACGCUACAGCGACGGGGUUCCUCAAGGCCUCUCCAGUGUGAG